rnacentral:rRNA from 1 species
CACGUUGGAACCUGCCCAAAGUGAGGAAUAAGCCACCCGAAAAGGUGGUCUAAUACUUCAUAAUAUCCAUCUCGUAUGGAUUAAAGCUUUAUGCGCUUUGGGAGGGGCCUGCGUAACAUUAGCUUGUUGGUGAGGGUAAAAGCUCACCAAGGCUUCGAUGUUUAACUGGUUUGAGAGGAUGACCAGUCACACUGGGACUGAGAUACGGCCCAGACUCCUACGGGAGGCAGCAGUAAGGAAUCUUCCACAAUGGGGGCAACCCUGAUGGAGCAAUACCGCGUGCAGGAUGAAGCGUUUCGGCGUGUAAACUGCUUUUAUCACCGAAGAUUAUGACUGUAGGUGAAGAAUAAGGACCGGCUAACUACGUG